rnacentral:rRNA from 1 species
AACGAACGUUGGCGGCAGGCCUAACACAUGCAAGUCGAGCGAGGACUUCGGUUCUAGCGGCGGACGGGUGAGUAACGCGUGGGAAUGUGCCCUUCUCUACGGAAUAGCCCUGGGAAACUGGGAGUAAUACCGUAUACGCCCUUGUGGGGAAAGAUUUAUCGGAGAAGGAUCAGCCCGCGUUGGAUUAGGUAGUUGGUGGGGUAAUGGCCUACCAAGCCGACGAUCCAUAGCUGGUUUGAGAGGAUGAUCCGCCACACUGGGACGGAGACACGGCCCAGACUCCUACGGGAGGCAGCAGUGGGGAAUCUUAGACAAUGGGGGCAACCCUGAUCUAGCCAUGCCGCGUGAGUGAUGCAGGCCUUAGGGUUGUAAAGCUCUUUCAGCUGGGAAGAUAAUGACGGUACCAGCAGAAGAAGCCCCGGCUAACUCCGUG